rnacentral:lncRNA from 1 species
AUUUGAAUUAAGAUCAACAGUUUAUUCAUUAGUUAUUGAGAUUUAAAUCUGUUAUAGGAAUUACUAGGAUUUGGUUUAGGAUUUAGGGUUUGGAUUAGGAUUUGAUUUAAGUUUUAGGGUUUGAUUUAGGAUUUGAUUGGAAUUUAUUUAGGAUUUAGGAUUUGAUUUAGGGUUUAGAAUUUAAUUAAGAUUUGAUUUAGGAUUUAGGAUUUGGAUUAGGGUUUGAUUAGGGUUUGAUUUAGGAUUUAGGAUUUGGUUUAGGAUUUCAUUAGGAUUUGGUUGGAGUUUGGUUUAAGAUUUAUUUAGGGUUUGAUUUAGGAUUUAGGAUUUUAUUAGGGUUUAAGAUUCAAUUAAUUUUGGCCUAAAGUUUGAAUGAAGUUCAAUAGGAUUUUAAUUAGAAUUAAAUUAAGAUUGAAUUGGGAUGUAUUUGAAUGAUAUUUGUGAUCCUCCUAAUAUUUCUUUAAGAAUUCUUAUUGUUGGUUUGAAAUUUCUUUAAGGUUUUUUUGAAUUUGAUUAAGCUUGCUUAGCAUUAUUAUGGUCUAAUUAGAGCAUAAUUAGUAUUCUAUUAGAAUUAGGAUUUUAUUAUUAUAAUUUCCAUUCUUCCUUCCACAGUCAGGUGCCUGGAGUAUUUUCAAGCAAGACUUCAUGUAUUACGACAACGGACCAUCAAU